AAAAAUGGACAUUAAUGUUCAAUAUAUAUUUACAUCUCAAAACAUCACCCAAUUUAGUGAAAAUAAGGCACUCAAUGGCACACUAGCAGAAGCUGCCAAUUAAUUACUAA